rnacentral:rRNA from 1 species
GUGGGGAAUAUUGGACAAUGGGGGGAACCCUGAUCCAGCCAUGCCGCGUGUGUGAAGAAGGCCUUUUGGUUGUAAAGCACUUUAAGCGAGGAGGAGGCUACCGAGAUUAAUACUCUUGGAUAGUGGACGUUACUCGCAGAAUAAGCACCGGCUAACUCUGUGCCAGCAGCCGCGGUAAUACAGAGGGUGCAAGCGUUAAUCGGAUUUACUGGGCGUAAAGCGCGCGUAGGUGGCCAAUUAAGUCAAAUGUGGAAUCCCCGAGCUUAACUUGGGAAUUGCAUUCGAUACUGGUUGGCUAGAGUAUGGGAGAGGAUGGUAGAAUUCCAGGUGUAGCGGUGAAAUGCGUAGAGAUCUGGAGGAAUACCGAUGGCGAAGGCAGCCAUCUGGCCUAAUACUGACACUGAGGUGCGAAAGCAUGGGGAGCAAACAGGAUUAGAUACCCCUGUAGUCC